GGAUGUGAGGGCGAUCUGGCUGUGACAUCUAUCUCCCCAAUGAUCUCCAGGGUUGAUUCGACUGAUCUGGCUGGCUAUGUGGGUGUCUCUCUCCUCCCUCACGGAUCCAGGUGCAUCCCUCCCUAAGCUGCGUGCUAGGUACAAGAGGAAGACCUUCCCCCUCAGAGGAGAAGACCUGCCGUACUAGUAGCUGCACUCCUUUGCUAAAACCUCUAAACAAGCUCUCAGAAACUCUGGCCAAAGAAGGACUCAAAAUCCUGACAAUCAGACCCCUACCGUAAGGACCUGGGCCAAAGUAUGGG
rfam:Myotis lucifugus cont2.40527, whole genome shotgun sequence.